ACACUAAUCCUCCCAGGGGAGCCUGGUCCUUUAUUCGAUAUUCCGCGAACUUCUUACCUUUUUUAGUGUCAGGCAAUCGCAGAUUUUACGACUCUUGAUCUCAGCUUGCAUACCGCCGUUUGUCAGUCUAUAUCGUGAGAGUAUAUAGAAAUAGGCGCUCCAGUCUUUUUUGGCUAAUAAUUCAGGUAAACGUGCAGCCUACGAAAAGGGGGAGCUGGGCUACAGUUGGAGUUUAGAAUAGCGUGGCUACCUUAAGGGUAAGGCAAAAGAGUACUUGGAAGUAAUGGUUUUAGACAACGAAGUCGUGAAUAGUGCUCUAGUGUGUGU
rnacentral:rRNA from 1 species